rnacentral:rRNA from 1 species
AGUGAACGCUGGCGGUAGGCCUAACACAUGCAAGUCGAACGGCAGCACAGUAAGAGCUUGCUCUUACGGGUGGCGAGUGGCGGACGGGUGAGGAAUACAUCGGAAUCUACUUUUUCGUGGGGGAUAACGUAGGGAAACUUACGCUAAUACCGCAUACGACCUACGGGUGAAAGCAGGGGAUCUUCGGACCUUGCGCGACUGAAUGAGCCGAUGUCGGAUUAGCUAGUUGGCGGGGUAAAGGCCCACCAAGGCGACGAUCCGUAGCUGGUCUGAGAGGAUGAUCAGCCACACUGGAACUGAGACACGGUCCAGACUCCUACGGGAGGCAGCAGUGGGGAAUAUUGGACAAUGGGCGCAAGCCUGAUCCAGCCAUACCGCGUGGGUGAAGAAGGCCUUCGGGUUGUAAAGCCCUUUUGUUGGGAAAGAAAAGCAGCAUGUUAAUACCCCGCUGUUCUGACGGUACCCAAAGAAUAAGCACCGGCUAACUUCGUG